CCUUGGCAGGAAAAUGUCAGAAAGCAGCGAUGGAUCCAUCUAUCCCGAGGACCGUGGCGGGGACGUGGGUUCGGCGCGGGCUCUGCAGCCGCGCGCUCACUCUCGCUCUCCGCCCGCCCUUGUACAACCCAGUCUGGCUUCCCGAGCCGGGUGCAAGCUAUCGCAGCACGCUCAUCGGGCGGGCACUGGGCGGCUGGUUCCCGGGACCCAAGCCUGCAGGACACUGGACACUUGCUAAAUGUUUUGCACUUUUGGGAAAGGCGGGACUGGAGCCGGAGAUCUGAGGGAAAGGCCGCGGGGGGGGGGGGGGGUCUGCUUCUCCCAGGCUAGUGCAGCCGCCGCCCUAUGUCGCUCUGCAGGGCCGUUGGCUCCGGCUUGGGGAUCCCGCCACCACCAGCGUCACCCACCCCUGGCCUAGCCUCAGCCCCUGUCCAAGCUGCCUCGGCCUCACCCCGGGUCGGUCGCCUGGACCGCUGCGGGAGCCUCUGACCGGGAGAGUGCGCUUGCAGCUCUCGCCCUUGCCGAGGCCCACAGGUUGCCAACAGGUCUGCCCGCAAGACCCCAGUGCCAGAGCUCCCCGGAGGUCACCUCGUGCCCCCCUCUGCUCGCUCUACUUGCGUCCAGCCUCCCCGCAGGCCCUCAGGCGCCGCUAAGAGCCCCAGGGGUGCACGCCCUUCGCGCAGCAGAGCCGGGGCGAGCCUGAGUCCAGCACCCGGGGUCUCAGCCACCUCAACCCAGCCCUCCCUGAAGCCGUGAUGGGGGGGACAUCGCUUCUCCCUGACGCCCUCCGGGAGGGGCGUGGGCUGGAGAGCGACGCGCGCCACCUCUCCCGCGUCUGCGACCGGGUCCCCCACCACCACCCGGGUCCUGCUAAUCUUACCUGUUCCACCUGUCACCGUUAUUUAUCUCACAGUGAGCGCAGGGAUUGUACUAGAACGCGCGGUGGGAGCUCGGAAAGCCGCAGCAGCUAAGGAGGUGAGACCCUGCUCCAUCGGGCAGAACCGUUCCGGAUCGGCUGCGAUGGGUUCAAGGCUCACUUAGGAGGAUCUAAGUCCAUCUUAGAACCUGCACUUAGCAUAUGCCAACUGGAGAUUUGUUGAAUGAAUCAAUCAGUGAUGCCUUUCUGGAAGCCCUAGACUGUCUUCAAUCAAUGCACCAUCCUCCCUACUCAGGACCAUUUAUUACCCACAAAGAAAAAAUGCACUGUUCUACUCCAUAGAGACCCAAGAACUACACUGUGUCUUGCGACCACCUCUCCCAACCAGUCUGAAAAGGAAGCCACACCAACUGAAGAGAUGUAAAUACUGAGACCACGAGACACCCAGUAGUAGGCUUCCCAACUGAAUCACUGGAGUUGAGGAUCUGAAGAUGUUGCCGGGCUACCACUAAGAUUCCUCCCAGCACCAGACUCCUGUGAGCUGUUGACCGUACACUUGAUGUCUGAAAGCCACCAUUUCCCACAUGAGAGUCUCCUGGGCUGUCCCAGGCUCCCUUCAUCCACAUUCCCGUUGGAACAGAGGAGGUUUUGUUUAACCUUUUUUGAACUGGUGGUUCAGCAGAUCAGAAGUAAUUUCGUUUUAACACUGACUUUAAAAAACAUGGUCUCUACACUCUGAGCAGGCCAAGAGAGAAGUGGGCAGAAGGGUUUAACAAAUAAUUUAUUGAGCCAAGUUUUGGACCUACAUCAUACUGGGCAUCCAUUGUGCCAAAGACAUUCAGCAAAUAAAGACACAGCCUUUCCUCAGGGGACCCAAGUCUGAGGGAGAUAUGGGUUGUUUUCAGGGAGUCCAGUCUGAGGGGGACAUGAUCUGUUUGCAAGGAGCCCUGGUCCAGUCAGAGGGGGAUUCUCAGACUGCAAGGGGGGCUGGAGAGAUGACUCAGCAGUUAAGACCACUGGCUGCUCUUGCAGAGGAUCCAGGUUC